rfam:Gammaproteobacteria bacterium SG8_31 WOR_8-12_1317, whole genome shotgun sequence.
CGUCUCCUGCAGUGUUCGACACGGGCCGGGAACCUCUCGUCCCUAUGUUUCAACAUCGGGGCCACGUUCUGUCGGCGUCACUGAGCAUUACCGUUUCUAGCGGGUAGCCUUCGAUGCCACGGCCGGCCCCACCUAUUGCUCUGGCUCGAGAGCAAAGGCCUGUGACGGCACAGGCGGGAGACGC